rnacentral:rRNA from 1 species
ACUCCUACGGGAGGCAGCAGUGGGGAAUAUUGGACAAUGGGCGCAAGCCUGAUCCAGCCAUGCCGCGUGUGUGAAGAAGGCCUUCGGGUUGUAAAGCACUUUUGUCCGGAAAGAAAAGCUCUGGGUUAAUACCCCGGGGUCAUGACGGUACCGGAAGAAUAAGCACCGGCUAACUUCGUGCCAGCAGCCGCGGUAAUA